rnacentral:lncRNA from 1 species
GUACCGUGUACUGUGUAUGGAAGAACACAGAAGACGGCUUAACCCAGAACAACCAAAAAUUUCAAGGAACUUUGGUUGAACUGGUGACUCUUCUUCUCAAACAAAAAUAAACACCACAACAUCAUGUAAAUCUGAACCCAUCGAAUUUGUACGAGAUAAUAUUAAUUUACUAACAAGAUCAUAUUAGAAAUUCAAACGCACAAAAAAAAAGGAAAAAGACAAAGAAAAAACAACAACGACGAAAUAUAUACACACCCGGUGUUUUAGAUUCUCCACUUUCCAUCUGCGAAUGAAAAAACGAUUCAAAUUUUUGACAUUUGGAAUUUUGGAUAUCUUGCCCCGCAAAACCCUAACCAGAAGUCGAAAAUUGUUUUCUACUUUUUUUCAUAGACAAGUCAAAGAAAUAAAAUGCUCAUUCAUUGGUUAAGGAAACAUCAUAUCUGCCAUGAUAUAUGCUAUGAAAUAAAAUGCUCAUUGGUUAAGGAAAAUUGGAUCUGACAUUUGCACAGUUACAAGGGCAGUAAAGCGGAAACCAUUUGCUCCAUUGAACCAGUGGUUUAGGCGUGAAGAACCGGUCUGGCUCAAUAAAAACACUAUCUGGCUGGUUUAUUGUGAAUAACACGUGUCAUGAUCGUAACGGCAGUGUUCACGUGAACAAUGUUCAGCAUAGACAAUUCC